UACGAAGGGGGCUAGCGUUGCUCGGAAUCACUGGGCGUAAAGGGCGCGUAGGCGGCUGAACAAGUCAAAGGUGAAAUCCCUCGGCUCAACUGAGGAACUGCCUUUGAAACUGUUCGGCUUGAGGCCGGGAGGGGGUAGCGGAAUUCCCAGUGUAGCGGUGAAAUGCGUAGAUAUUGGGAGGAACACCAGUGGCGAAGGCGGCUACCUGGACCGGUUCUGACGCUGAGGCGCGAAAGCGUGGGUAGCAAACAGG
rnacentral:rRNA from 1 species